CAGUGAGCCCGGCAUCCCUUCGCUCAGCAGGGAAUGUGGACUGAGCACAAGGGCCGCGAGGCUUAUGUUUCGAUUUUGCUCACCGAAGAAAUGAAGCAAACAGAGACUAAAGAAGUCCUCAUGGCUGGACACAUCUUAAAAGUUUGGUGUUUGGAUGAACAGCUCUCCUCCUGCCUCACAGCGGCAGGUGCUAAGCACUGCUGAAGUGGCUAGUGGGCUGCAAAGCACCCUGGGCUCGGUGAUGGCACUGUCCCUGGGGCCGCAAAGGACCUGCUGGGGCCACGAACAAAUCUGCUUUAUCACACAGUGCGUCUGUCAUGGCCAUUUCAGCACUGCUGGCACUGCAUUAAAUUACUGGGCUCCUACAGCUCUGCAAAUCCUUUGUGAGCCGUUUUUGUGUUUUCAUGUGUGAUCAGCAAAAGGAGGAUAUGCUCCUGCUUUCCUGAAAGAGGAAAAAUCCAGGGCUGCAGGAGCCUACAACGCACAUUCAGCACGCACCGGCCAGGCGAGCUCCCUGCCCUGCACCAGUCGUUGGCCCUCCCUGCCAUGACACGUCUGAGCACCUGCACGUCUGCAAAUCCAUCCUUGCUGCCAUUGCUAUUAUUAUAUGGGCCUCAGUCUAAAUUAUCUUCUAAUGUGCAAUUCAUCUGGCAUCUUCAGCAUUCAGGCUUUAUAAAGCAGAAGUUAAAAAUACCAAUUGAAAUAAGGUAUUAUUAUAUAUUCACUUAUUUAUACACACACACACACACACACACAAAUAUACAGAGAGAUUAUAAAACAGAACAUGCAGUUAGUUCAUUGUACUAAAAUUGCAUGAAAUAAGGAAUAGCAUGAACUGUUGAAAAAUA